rnacentral:lncRNA from 1 species
CUCGAGCGCUUUGGACGCGCCGGGCACUCUCUGGGCCACAGGGUCCCCACCUGGGCAGCGCACUAAAGACGUCUGGGAGAGAUUUAAAAAUACUCCCUGCCUGGAGCCUCUGCUGAAGCCACCGUGGGCUUUCAGAGCCGCCCAGCAGCUGCACGGGCAGUCUACGGCAGCCUCUGGCACGGUGUGCAGUGAUCGGCCCAGGAGCUGCAGCAACCCCAGGGCUUUCCGGAGACAAGACCUGGGCCAGGCAGCUCCUGGGGCUGGGGCGGUGAUGGGAGAGGAGCCGAAGUGCCCUGCACCCCACUGUGACGCCACAGCCAGAGACCUGGGGACCAGGCUCCUGGAUGUGCAGACCUGGGGAGCGCUCAGCAGAUGUCUCUCCGCUUCGGAGGCCUGGGCCUGCCCCUCCUUGGGGCACAGCAGCCCGACGCCCACACGGAGAAUCACAGCACCUGCGCCACGCAGCACCACACCCAGCCCAGACCUCGAGAGGCCUUGGUCCCGUGGGGGCCUCGGAGUGGAGAAGGACAAAGGACUCGGAGGCCAGCAGGGGUGCACCUCUGCCAACCAGCACUCAGGAGGCUGAGGCGGGAAGAUCACCCUGAGCCCAAAGACAGUCUGGGUUACAUAGUGAGUUCAAGACUAAGCGAUAUGAAAUAAAAUGAACACUUGCAGGAGCAAGAAGCAGACAGAUGGGGUGGAGAGUCACACGGGGAAGGCCUGGCUCACACCCAUGGCCCACGCGCCCUGGGACGUCGCACGCGGGCAGCAGGGUUCUGGGCGAGCUCUCCCCAGCGCAGACGGAUCAGCUUCUCCUGUGACCCUCCUCUGUGCAGCAGCUUGGCGCCUCUGAGUUCGAUCCCCGGUUCCAAAAAAAAGAAAAAAAAAGGGAGCAAUGUUGAUGCGAAGCUGAUUCUUUUGGCCUCCACAAAAGAGCCUCGACAUCCGAGACUAACACAUCAGCCCCUUCGCAGCUGAGGACCUGAGGCCCCAGACCCUGACGGGGGGGCCCGUCCCCCACCGGGCUGUCGGGACAGAAGAGGCCGGGGACCAAGGCACCAGGAGGCCUGGGGGGCCCAGCAGACCUUCCCCUUCCGCCCGCCCACCAGGCUCCCGUGCUGGUCUCCCAACACACAGGAAGUGGGGCUGCUGGGCUUGGGACAGGGACUCGGGGCGGCCUGACUUGUGGCCAGGCGAGGUUGAGGGCCCCGAGGCCUCGCGCUCUGGGCAGGCAGAGCCAGGCGUUACUGGGGUGCAGGUGGGUGGGGCCCAGCGGAAGUGAUCUAAGCACCCAGACCCCACCCCAGAAGAAGCCAGAGUGUCUGCUGCCUGGUUCUCACCGAGGGGCAAGCAGAGCUGUCAGAGGUACAAUCUGGUACCCGGUACCACCGGGUCUUAGAGUUCGUCCUGCAGAGCCCAGUGCUACAGCCUGGCCCAGCAUGAGGGAGACCCUGGGCUCCUUCUCCAACACCAGACACAGGGGAGAGGAGGAGAGGGCAGCUGGGCAUGAGGGCAGGCACUUUAACCCCAGCACUAGGGAG